GUAGCAUAAUCACUUGCCCAUUAAUUGUGGGCUAGAAUGAAUGGAAAAACGAAGUAAUAGCUGUCUCUAGUAGUACCAUAAAAAAUAAUCUUCCAGUGAAGAAGCUGAAAUAAAAUCACAGGACAAGAAGACCCUAUAGAGCUUUAUUUUUAAUACAUACAAUAAAUGUAAAAAAAUUCAGUUGGGGCGACUAAGGAAAAAUCAUCCUAAACAUAAAAGACUUACAAGUCAAUUAAAAGAUCCUAAAUAAUAGAUCAAAGAAAUAAGCUACCUUAGGGAUAACAGGCUAAUCCUCCUGGAAAGUCCAAAUUUAUAGGAGGGGUUGGCACCU
rnacentral:rRNA from 1 species